GAAAAACAUCUUAUAAAAUGUGAUACGUGGUGUGAGUUGCAGGCUUCUAUGAACCACCGAAUCUUUGAAUGCAAGUUGCGCCCGAAUCCAUUAAACCGAGAAUACAUUUGCUUGGAUGUCA
rfam:Nicotiana attenuata strain TT chromosome 5, whole genome shotgun sequence.